CUCACAGAAGUUAAUCAUUAACUCCUUCACUGCUGGAGUGGACAUCAAUGCAUUAUUUUGCAAGGCGUUGUAGGCCUCUCCAGCAUUGAAUGGGUUAAACUACCCUGGUCACCAUGU
rnacentral:precursor_RNA from 14 species